UACGUAGGGGGCAAGCGUUGUCCGGAUUUAUUGGGCGUAAAGAGCGUGUAGGCGGCCAGACAAGUCGUGCUGUGAAAACUCGAGGCUCAACCUCGAGCUGUCGGUGGAAACUGUCUGGCUAGAGUCCGGAAGAGGAGAGUGGGAAUUCCUGGUGUAGCGGUGAAAUGCGCAGAUAUCAGGAAGAACACCUAUGGCGAAGGCAGCUCUCUGGGACGGUACUGACGCUGAGACGCGAAAGCGUGGGGAGCGAACAGG
rnacentral:rRNA from 1 species